CCCUUAGAUGUUCUGGGCCGCACGCGCGCUACACUGACGAAUGCAACGAGCUUAUAACCUUGGCCGAAAGGUCUGGGUAAUCUCCAAAUUUCGUCGUGAUGGGGAUAGAUUAUUGCAAUUAUUAAUCUUCAACGAGGAAUGCCUAGUAAACGCAAGUCAUCAGCUUGCAUUGAUUACGUCCCUGCCCUUUGUACACACCGCCCGUCGCACCUACCGAUUGAAUGGUCCGGUGAAAUCUCCGGACUGGCGUGAGUCGGAGCAAUCUGACAAACGCCGGAAAGUUGAUUAAACCUUACCAUUUAGAGGAAGGUGAAGUCGUAACA
rnacentral:rRNA from 1 species